CUCUUGGUUCUGGCAUCGAUGAAGAACGCAGCGAAAUGCGAUAAGUAGUGUGAAUUGCAGAAUUCAGUGAAUCAUCGAAUCUUUGAACGCACAUUGCGCCCCUUGGUAUUCCAUGGGGCAUGCCUGUUCGAGCGUCAUUUGUACCCUCAAGCUCUGCUUGGUGUUGGGUGUUUGUCCUAUUCUUUGCAAUAGGACUCGCCUUAAAACAAUUGGCAGCCAGUGUUUUGGCAUUGAAGCGCAGCACAUUUUGCAAUUCAAGCCCCUAGCACUUGCGUCCAUAAAGCGUAUUUUUACACUUUUGACCUCGGAUCAGGUAGGGAUACCCGCUGAACUUAAGCAUAUCAAUAAGCCGGAGGAAAAGAAACCAACAGGGAUUGCCCUAGUAACGGCGAGUGAAGCGGCAACAGCUCAGAUCUGAACUCUGGCUCUAUUAGGGUCCGAGUU
rnacentral:rRNA from 1 species